GGAGGGAGAGAUGACACUGAGCAAGUCCGCUUCUAAAGAACCCUGUGUGACAUGGAGAGGAAUUUAUAUUGUCUCCUGGAAGCUACAAAAGACCUGCUGAGGAGGUUAAGCAGGAAUGUGGCAUGAGCAGGUUUCUGUUUUAGAAAGUUUGCUCUGGCUGCAGAGAGGAUGAAGUGAGACUGGGAACAAGGAAGCUGUGUAGGGGAGGGACUCCAACAGCCAGGAAGAGGAGCCAAGGCACCAUUCACCUGUGCCCAGAUGGCGGUGAGCAAUACCCCAGCACGAAGGACCCUAAGGGAAAGAUCUAUCUCUGCCUGCCACUGCUGGACUCACAGAGUACACCACCUGUGAUCACAGAGCACCACCUGGACUCACAGAGGUGCACCACCCAGGCUCACAGAGGUGCACCACCCAGGCUCACAGAGGUGCAUCACCUGGGCUCACAGAGGUGCACCACCCAGGCUCACAGAGCUGUGUACCACACUGAUGCUCAAGGAAAUUCGUCUCCCCAGUGAAGCAGGAAUCCCAUCUUUGCUAAGCAGAGGUCUCUGGAAAGCAUCCAUCAGGGGGCUGCAGGCAGAAUCCCACGGAGACUGUGAUGAUUCCGGCUUCAGGAUGAACAUGUCAACACAGAUUUUAUCUCUUCACCACACUUGCUACAAAUGUGCGUGUUCAGUCACACACUUACCCCAGUUACACUGCAGGAGAACUAUGCAUCUUACCCAGAGCUGUGGCCUCUAGUGCUAAGGAAAUGCUCCUUUUACUUUAUACGUAGUAUGAGUUCGUGGACCCUCGCCUUAAGUUCUAGUAAACUCGGAGGCCAGUAAACUCACGUGCGCUCCUGUCAGCUUUGCCCUCACAUACAUGCUUCUCUGGCGUCUCUCUGCCCGUGAGUCAAUCUGCACUGGUCAUUGUCCUUGCAAGUUCAUAACCGUCCUGUGAUGGUGGUGGUGGUGAUGAUGAUGAUGAUGAUGAUGAGGAGGAGGAGGAGGAGGAGGAGAAAAGGAGAAGGAAAUGGGAACACCAAUGAGCUAGCCUGCCUAUUUGUAUCCACUUACAGAAUGUGAACCUAAUAGAGGAUUGAUAACUCAAGUCUGAUGCCCACUUUGGUCACCAGCUGAAGUGAGGGCACAGGUCACUUUCAGCUGGCAGUGGGCAGUUGUGAAGUAAGCCAUACUCUUCAAGGAGCCCACUGUAGUGAGAGAA
rnacentral:lncRNA from 1 species